rnacentral:lncRNA from 1 species
AAUGAGAAAAAUUAUCAUAGUAUAUCGUUUUAUAGCAUCCUAAGUAAUAAAAUUUGGGAUUAAGGUCAUAUUUAUCACCAUAGUAUGUAUCGCUCUUAAAAUUUUUCAUGGACUUUAAUUUCAUUUAAUUUUAUUAUUGUAUUUUUAAUUUUAAAAAAUUUAUCGUCUGUAUUAAUAAAAUAUUCUGUGAAACAUUUUAAUUUCAAUUUUUUGGUCAAAAAACAACGAAACUGAAAGUGCAGUGAAUUUAUGUCAAUUUACAUUAACAUAAUAUUAGGUGAAAUAUUUUAAUUUUAUUAUUUUUAGUUCAAAAUCAAUAGAAUUGAAAGUACUAUCUAUGAUAAAAUUCAAUAUUAAAUUAUAAUACAGUGAAAAAGUUAACCUUAAUCUCCUAAAUUUUCAACAAUUUGUUUUACAAAUUGUUGAAAAAUUUAUUAAUUUCUUUAUUCAAGGCAUAAUAUCCAGAUCAAUUUUCCACACAUGAUAAAAAAAGAAAAAAAGGAACUAAAUUUUUUAAAAGAAGGGAUAUCCACUCAUACAAUUUGAAUAACGUUUUCAAUAGGCGUAUAAUCAUCAGCAUCAUCAUAACUUAAUAUUCACUAAACUAUAGCUAUUGAACCUAGUUAUUAAUGGUGGGUUUAUACUAGAAAAAGUGUUUUUCAUAAGCACAAAGCACCGAAUUGAAAAUGUUUUUCUACAUACUUUUGGUUUAAAAAGCUAAAAUAAAAUAUAAUAGUCUUCAAGUAAACAAGUACUAAGUCAGUUUAAGGCAAAGCGUAGCUACCCCAAACCUGAGAAGAAUAAGGAAGUUAAAUAAUCCUUGGAUUAUGUUCCCAAAACUUAUUCUAAGUUGCUAAUAAAGUACUACUAAUUAAGAUGGUUUCCAAUAUUUCUUUCUUUCUUUUUUUCAAUGGAUUUGCUUUUCCAUUGAUAUUGGGUGUGGUAGCAAUUAGGAGAAAGAUUAGGACUGGAUCAGUCCAAGGUUCUACAAAUUUUCUUAGGUCAGACAUAAAUCAACCACAACAUUUCAUGGCAGUUCUCACCAACAGUAUUGGAUUUGCUUAAAAUAAUUGCUUAAACAAACUUGAAUGUACUUAAUUGACAUGUGGGACAAGUUUUCUAUCCAUGAAUCCGUACAACAAAACAAUAAAAAAAUAUAUAUUACAUUUAAAAUUAAAAUGCUUGAUUUUAAUAAAUAACAAAUAAUAUUACACUCUGCCACUACAUGCAUUAAGAAAUAAAAUACAAACACCACUAAAGCUACAGGGCUAACAAUAAUGAAUUAAACAAAAAUAAUUAAGUAUAUGGGGUUUUUUUUUUUAAAUAAAAUUGUAGUCCAAGGAUAAAAGAAUAAAUUAUAAGUAUUAAAAUUUAAAUAUUAAAUAUAUUAUAUGUCAUUUUUUAAAAAUAAUUAUAGUAUAAAAAUCAAAUAUAUUUCACAAUCUCCACUUCAUUGGUGCAAGAAAGCAUCAAUUCAAUUUUCGACCUAUUAUAUUUUUAGAAGUCAAUAGUAAUAAAAAAAUUUUGGAUACUGAAAGUACUACUUUUUAUUAUCAAUGGAAGUAGAAAGUACAGACUCUCUUUCUUUAAAUUUUAAGAUUGAAAUAAUCCUUUCUUAGACAAAACGUUACAAUUUUGUUUGGUGGAAGAUAAAAAGUUAACGAGCUAGUAAUGAAAAGAGCUUCCGUCUUAAUUUAUGCCCAAAUUUUCAAAUUCAAACUUGGAAAAAUUAGGAGGUGGGGAAUAAAAGUGAUGUUGAAGUGUUGUAACUUUUAUAGACUCAGAGGGUUUUUUUCUUUCAAAAAAUUGAAUUGUUGUUUCUGUUUAUCCUAAAGAAAUAAAAAAAGGUAACUUUUAAUUGUUCAAGUCAAAAAUCUCACCUGAAAAGGUUUCCAAAUUGUUGACUGGAGGAUUGUAAUAUAUACAUACAAAAGGUAACACCCUUGUCUUUGGUUCUACAUUAAUUUUCCCAUGUGAACUGAUUAAAAAAUAUAAAAGUUUACAUGAAGUUAUAAAUUCUCUCCUGCUGAGAAAAAAAAAAAAAAAAAAAAGAAGAAUUUUUGGAGACAAUAAUUGGUCAGGUGCUUGGUGUACAUUAUCUUCACCUUUUUCAAGUUUGCUGUUUAAUCAGUAGAAUAUUAAUACCGCAUGAGAAGUUUUUUUUCCAAAAUGGAAGGAUAAAAAGGUUGGUUCAGGCAAACCUCCAUCCCUUUAGUCAAAGUUAUAUUAUAUCUUAAUUGGAUGAAAAUUGACACAUAUAUAGUUCACGGAAGAAGAAAAAGAAAAAAGAUCUGCAUAUGUCGGCUCUUAGUUUCUUGUUCUAGUGAGAACAGAAAUCAAAGUUCUAGGCUAUAAACAUACCACGUUGUUUCACUAUAUUCUUCCCUCCUUGGAAUGCAACUUGCAAACUUUUUACAACUAAAAUUCCUCAAUUAGGGUUGGUUUCCUUUUCCAUGUGAAAUGAACAAAGGUGAAAAAUCAAAUAACGUGCCAAGUUAAUUGGAAAGUGGAAUGUUUUCAUAGGGCAUUAAUUUAAAG